ensembl:lncRNA
CUAGAGAAAGAGCAGUAGGAGCUACUCCCUCGGCCUGAAGGUCAGAGGCCACUUUCAAGGACUAGAUGAGGCUGCCCUUCUAAGAGAGAGCUUGAUAACCUGACCCCAGCUGCAGUUUUGUUUCAAGAUGUUUAACAGAGGAGUCUAAGGCUGCAGACAAGUCUUCUUGCCUGGUGGCUCAGAUGGUAAAGAAUCUGCCUGCAAUAUUGGAGACCCAGGCUUGAUCCCUGGGUUGGCAAGAUCUCCUGGAGAAGGAAAUGGCAAUCCACCCCAGUAUUCUUGCCUGGAGAAUUCCAUGGACAGAGGAGCCUGGCUGCCAUUCCACGAGGUAGCAAAGAAUCAGACAUGACUAAGCUACUGCCACUUCACUUCCUAAGGCUGCAGGGUAACAUCAGAUGGAAGAAAGAGUGGGACACACUGUCUUGGAGGAUCUAGCUCUUCACAGGAAACAUAAUUGGUGCUGUAAUUGGUCCUAUAAUGAAUCAAGUCCAAAAAGCCAG